rnacentral:rRNA from 1 species
CCUACGGGAGGCAGCAGUGGGGAAUAUUGCACAAUGGGGGAAACCCUGAUGCAGCAACGCAGCGUGAGUGAAGAAGGAGUGCGGGAUGUAAAGCUCGAUCAGCAGGGAAGAAGAUGACGGUAACUGAUGAAGAAGCCCCGGCUAACUACGUGACAGCAGCCGCGGUAAUACGUAGGGGGCAAGCGUUAGCCGGAGUGACUGGGUGGAAAGGGAGCGCAGACGGCAGUGCCAGUCUGAAGUGAAAGCCCGGGGCCCACCCCCGGAACGGCUCGGGAUACUGUGCGGCUAGAGUACUGGAGGGGCAGGCUGAAUUCCUAGUGUAGCUGUGAACUGCGUCGAUAUUCGGCGGCCCACCAGUGGC